rnacentral:snRNA from 1 species
ACCCCUCCCUUUUGGGCUUGACAGUUAUACUGGAAAUGCACAAAGUAGAUUAGCAUGGCCCCUGUGCAAGGAUGACAUGCAAAUCUGUGAAGCAUUCCAUAUUAAU